CAAAGAUUAAGCCAUGCAUGUCUAAGUACUAGCAUUAAUACUGUGAAACUGCGAAUGGCUCAUUAAAUCAGUUAUGAUCUACUUGGCAUUUUACUGCUUUGCUGCUGGAUAACCGCGGUAAUUCUGGAGCUAAUACAUGUGGAUAAAACGGUCGUACCGUUGCGUAUAUUAGAUAAAAACCAACCGAGGGUAAAACCUUGUCUUUGGUCGUUCAUAGUAUCCUAGCCGGUCUUCAGUUACUGAAGCCAGCUCAUUCGAUUUUCUGCCCUAUCAUUGCUUGAGAUUGCACGAUCGAGGCGUGUGAUGGCUACAACGGGUAACGGGGAAUAAGGGUUCGAUUCCGGAGAGGGAGCCUGAGAAACGGCUACCACAUCCAAGGAAGGCAGCAGGCGCGCAAAUUACCCAAUCCCGACACGGGGAGGUAGUGACAAUAAAUAACAAUGCAGGGCUUUUAUAGUCUUGCAAUUGGGAAUGAGUACAAUUUAAAUCCUUUAACGAGGAUCAAUUGGAGGGCAAGUCUGGUGCCAGCAGCCGCGGUAAUUCCAGCUCCAAUAGCGUAUACUAAAGUUGUUGCAGUUAAAACGCCCGCAGUCGAAAUUUAGUCUUUGGGCUACUAUACCAGCAUUCAUUUGUUGGUCUUAGCUAGACCGAGACUUUUGACUGGAUCUCUUCUUGACCUCGGUCUUGGAGGUUGAACCAGUUGAUUACCAUGAGCAAAUCAGAGUGUUUAAAGCAGGCUAUCAAGCUUGAAUGUGUUAGCAUGGAAUAAUGAAAUAUGAUCUUUGGUCUAUUUCGUUGGUUAAAGACCAAAAUAAUGAUGAAUAGGAGUGGUCGGGGGCAUUUGUAUUUGGACGCUAGAGGUGAAAUUCUUGGAUUGUCCAAAGACAAACUACUGCGAAAGCAUUUGCCAAGUACGCUUCCGUUGAUCAGGGGCUAAGGUUAAGGGAUCGAAGACGAUUAGAUACCGUCGUAGUCUUAACAGCAAACGAUGCCGACUAGGGAUUAGACUUGGCUCUUAUGGCUUGUCUAGCACCUUAGCGAAAAGCAAAGUUUUUGGGUUCUGGGGGGAGUACGGGACGCAAGGCUGAAACUUAAAGGAAUUGACGGAAGGGCACCACCAGGGAGUGGAGCCUGCGGCUU
rnacentral:rRNA from 1 species